rnacentral:rRNA from 1 species
AUACGUAGGUGACAAGCGUUAUCCGGAUUUACUGGGCGUAAAGGGCGUGUAGGCGGUCUUGCAAGUCAGAAGUGAAAUUCCUGAGCUCAACUCGGGCGCUGCUUCUGAAACUGCAGGACUUGAGUGCUGGAGGGGAUAGCGGAAUUCCUAGUGGAGCGGUAAAAUGCGCAGAUAUUAGGAAGAACACCGGUGGCGAAGGCGGAUAUCUGGACAGUAACUGGCGCUGAGGCGCGAAAGCGAGGGGAGCAAACAGGAUUAUAUACCCGGGUAGUCCACGCCGUAAACGAUGAAUACUAGGUGUAGGGGGUAUCGACUCCCUCUGUGCCGCAGUUAACACAACAAGUAUUCCGCCUGGGGAGUACGGCCGCAAGGUUGAAACUCAAAGGAAUUGACGGGG